GGUCGACAUCUUCGGAUGGACC
rnacentral:misc_RNA from 1 species